CACACAGAACCUGAGCUGAGGAUCACUGACUGCUCACACCAGACAUGAAGAAUUUCCUGUGGUUCCUCUGUAUUGGAUUGUCCCUACAAUAUGUCACUUCACAGAUCUCCUUAGUGGAGUCUGGUCCUAGGACUGUGAGACCAUCGGAGACUCUGGCCAUGACCUGUAAAGUGACCGGAGUCUCCCUGACUGACAGCAGUAAAAUAUAUUCCAUAGACUGGGUCAGACAACCUGAAGGGAAAGGUCUGGAGUGGUUGGGAAGAAUAGUCUACCAAAAUGACAAAUACUAUGCUCAGUCUCUCCAAGGGCGAUUAACUCUCUCAAGAGACACAAAUAAAGGAGAAGUUUACUUCAAACUCACUGGAAUGAAACCUGAAGAAUCUGGGAAAUAUUAUUGUGCUAAACACAGUGUAACAGAUGAACUGAGGACAUUGACACUGCUGGGAUUUGUAGUGCAUCAUCUGGACACAGUGAUGCAGAAGACAGGUUACUGUCAGAGGCUUCCUGAGAUCAGUAGUUCCUCUGUGCUCCCUCUAAGCUUUAUCUUCGAGAUGAUGGCCACAAUGCAGUGCAUAUGGUUUUAUCAGCCUCUUAAACCCCCUCUGCUGUCUAGCAUUUGA